rnacentral:rRNA from 1 species
AGAGUUUGAUCCUGGCUCAGAAUCAACGCUGGCGGCGUGCCUAACACAUGCAAGUCGAACGCGAAAGCCCGCAAGGGUAAGUAGAGUGGCGCACGGGUGAGUAACACGUGGACAACCUGCCUUCGAGUGGGGAAUAACCUUCCGAAAGGAGGGCUAAUACCGCAUAACACCUCGGGACACAAGUUCUGGGGUUGAAAAGAGCAAUUUGCUCGAAGAGGGGUCCGCGCCUGAUUAGCUAGUUGGUGAGGUAACGGCUCACCAAGGCUUCGAUCAGUAGCCGUCCUGAGAGGGAGCACGGCCACACUGGAACUGAGACACGG